rnacentral:misc_RNA from 1 species
GUCGAACGGUCUCGUAAGGGACAGUGGCAAACGGGUGAUUCACACGUGGGUGACCUGCCGUGGAGUGGGGAAUAACCCCGCGAAAGCGGGGCUAAUACCGCAUGUAGUUUAGGGAGUGAAGUUUCUAGACUAAAGCCUUCGGGUGCUCUACGAGGGGCCUGCGUCCGAUUAGCUAGUUGGUGGGGUAAAGGCCUACCGAGGCGAUGAUCGGUAGCUGGUCUGAGAGGACGAUCAGCCACACUGGGACUGAGACACGGCCCAGACUCCUACGGGAGGCAGCAGUGGG